rnacentral:rRNA from 1 species
AACUUUGACUUUGCUGUUUGACAAUUGAAUCGGAAGAAAGAGAAACGUGGACGGCGGAGUCCUUGCGGAUCGCACUCGUUUAUAUGUGAAUGUUAAAGUGUGCGGUCGAUGAGAUACUCUGGCGGUCACGUAUCUAAGUUCAUCGUGUUUGCGAUUCUCUUGGGCGUAAGCUCUUGGGAUUGCAGGCAGGUGUGCUUGGGACUCGUCAUAGAGAAAGUGACCAGCCAGUACCAAAUUCUCAUUCAACUUGAGAGUUUGAUCCUGGCUCAGAACGAACGCUGGCGGCAGGCCUAACACAUGCAAGUCGAACGCCGUAGCAAUACGGAGUGGCAGACGGGUGAGUAACGCGUGGGAACAUACCCCUCGGUUCGGAAUAACUCAGGGAAACUUGAGCUAAUACCGGAUACGUCCGAGGUUUUAAUCGACCUUGGAGAAAGAUUUAUCGCCGGAGGAUUGGCCCGCGUCUGAUUAGCUUGUUGGUGAGGUAAUGGCUCACCAAGGCGACGAUCAGUAGCUGGUCUGAGAGGAUGAUCAGCCACAUUGGGACUGAGACACGGCCCAAACUCCUACGGGAGGCAGCAGUGGGGAAUAUUGGACAAUGGGCGAAAGCCUGAUCCAGCCAUGCCGCGUGAGUGAUGAAGGCCUUAGGGUUGUAAAGCUCUUUUACCCGGGAAGA